AACAAAAAGGUUACAUUAAAAAUUUAAGGGACGAGUGUCGACACACACGAACAGAAAGGUUACAUUAAAAAUUUAAGGGACGAGUGUCGACACCUCAGUUAUAAGUGUCAACACAUUAGAACAGAAAGUUUAUUUAAGAACCAAGUGUCGACACCUAAAGAACAAGUAUCUACACAUUAGAACAGAGUGUUGAACCUUUUGAAACUAAGGUGAACCUUGUGAACCCUGUUUAAACCUUUUGAACCCCAAAAUAUCAACACCCUAAGAACAAGUGUCGACACAUAAAUAUAGACAAUACCCAUUUUCACCAUUUCCACACAACUCUUUCUCUCUCCCUCUCUCUAACUUCCCUUCAAGCUUCUAAUUGUCACCCAUGACGCACGAUCCACCUAAAAUCCCCUAUCAAACUUCAUAUAAACAUCAAUUGAUCAAUUCUAACCUCUCUUAAUCAUCUUCGAUUCUUAAAUGGCUCCUAAAUCUACGAAAUCAAGGAAAUAAUCUUUAGCCCUAGUAGUGUCGACACCCACCAUGGUAAGAGGCCAGAAGAGGAAGUUCAAGUAAGAUUCAAACAAGGAUAAAUGAAAAAAUAGUCCAAGAAAUUAGAGAGAAUUAAGCGGUAAUAGAUCUCAAUACAUACAUUGGCCACUACACAUGCCAACUUAAUAAGCAAACAUUUUAAACUCCUUUUCUUUUUAUAUUUUGCAACUUCCUCUAAACAUAUAGUAUUGAACUCCAUUACUUUGGUUUUCAACAAUUGUUUUUUCUUUAUCUUCUUUUCUUUCGGUUCAACACCUUUUUUUAUUUUUUUUCUUUGCUGCUCCUCUUCCAUUUCCCUUCUUCCGGCAUUUCUCAACUUCUCAAAAGUUAUGUAAUACAUACUUUUUUCCAAAUUCAAGGCAAACUCUAGAUUCAGCAUGCUUUUCGAUAUCAUUUUAUAAGUAAUUACUGAAAAGAAUGACAGAGAGGAAGAAUAAAUGAAUUGGCCUCAAUGUAACGAAAUCCAGAACAUGCGCAAGUCAAACAGUUUAACCAUGUAAAAGGUAUUGAAAAUUUCAACUUAUCACAUCAACAUGUAAACCAAAUUCCUAUGCAAGGCAACAAAAUGAACUGUUGAUUUCGCAUUAGAGCAUUGCACCACCCUUCUAUGCAUUUUUCUCUUUGGGUGGUUUGCGUGUACAAACUGUACAUGCAAAGAAUAUCCAGUUAAGUGUAUAUAAUGUUGAUCUUACAAAAUUUUGCUAUAGAUUAUUAUAUAUUCCUUACUGCUCUUCAGCUUGUAUUUCCUGUCUCCAAGUUUUGCAUAAAUUUUCUUUUAAGUCCUCUGUUGUGGUCAUGACUCAAGUUUUCCUAUAUUACCAUCUAUUGGAAAGUAGUUUUCUUUUAACUUAGGCCAACAUAUUCUCUCUUCAAAUGGCAAAGCACCUCACCAAUAAGCAGAUUAAACUUAAGCUAUCUAGUAAUAUAGUAUUUCAUAAUGCGAGAUGUAAUUAUGUGAUUCUCAAGAUUUUCUAGUUUCAACAAAGUUGAUGAAGGUUUUUGGGAACAUCAAUAUGUGAAUCUUGAAUCUACAAAUACCACCUCAAAUAAAGUACAAACAUUUAUAUAUAACCGAAGUUUGCCAAAGAGAAUAGAUUAUUGUAUGCACCAAAUGGAACAUAUAAGAUUUUGUUAUCCAUAGCCAAAGGCAAGUUCCUUCCCUAUAGACAUAGUUUCAUCCUUUCCUUGAAUUUGUGUUUUGGUUUUGUGUAAAAGUAAAAGUGAUUGUGAGAGCUGUUAUAACAGCUACCUCGAUUUCUUCUCAAGUUUUGAUUGGUUUCUUCAUAUUAACUUUCGCCACAUCUAAUCCAUGUUUGAGUCCUCACAACGUGAAUACCAAAAGCACUACCAACAAAAAUAGAACCAAAUCAUACUUCAACCACCACUGACCUAGACUGUCCUUCAGCAUUACGUAUAUAAGUGUCAGGCACAUGCAAGGUUAAAUAAUAAUUUAGAAAAAUCAAAAGGGGAUCGUAUAACAAAUUGUUAAGAAAGACCAAAAGGAGGAAAAACACGAAGUAUGCAGUCACAUAGGCAUGUUGGAUACGUUGGGUUUGAAGCAGAAAUCCCUGAAGCAUUCGUAUAUGGAACAAUAAUCGUGGUAAUAGUAGCAACAUAAACCAAUCUCUAAACCCAAAUCAGAUUCUUAAAUCAUAUAAAUAAGGUUAGAGUAUUCAUUACCAGAGAAGAAAAAUGCAAGCCUAGAUCCAAAUGGGGAAGCAUAAUGAGUUAACAAUUGGGUGGCAGACAUUUUCCUAGCAAAGUACGUCGAUAUUUAGUCAAUGUAUUGUUUUUCUAAGAAACUUUGCUGACGAAUGGAUCUUUCUAGUUUGAAAGGAUGUUUUGCAAUCCAAUAGACAUGUUCUUAUGGCUGUGAUAUUCAGGUAAACAUAGAAGGUCUGGAGUGGUUUGAAAAUUUGUAGUAGUUAAGUUAUUUUUUGUAAAUAGCUUCUGAGAUUGUAGU
rnacentral:lncRNA from 1 species